rnacentral:misc_RNA from 1 species
GAUGAAGAACGCAGCGAAAUGCGAUAAGUAAUGUGAAUUGCAGAAUUCAGUGAAUCAUCGAGUCUUUGAACGCACAUUGCGCCCCCUGGUAUUCCGGGGGGCAUGCCUGUCCGAGCGUCAUUGCCGCCCUCAAGCACGGCUUGUGUGUUGGGCCCCCGCCCCCCGGCUUCGGGGGGCGGGCCCGAAAGGCAGCGGCGGCACCGCGUCCGGUCCUCGAGCGUAUGGGGCUUCGUCACCCGCUUUGUAGGCCCGGCCGGCGCCCGCCGGCGACCCCAAUCAAUCUUUCCAGGUUGACCUCGGAUCAGGUAGGGAUACCCGCUGAACUUAAGCAUAUCAAUAAGCGGAGGA